ACCCAGGCUCUUUUCAGAGCCAUUGCUUUUCCUCCACAAACUGACAG
rfam:Mus musculus chromosome 19, GRC primary reference assembly.